rnacentral:rRNA from 1 species
CGUUUUUUCUUCCCCGGUAUCUACAUAUCAAUAAGCGGAGGAWMRUUGARACCAACAGGGAUUGCCUCAGUAACGGCGAGUGAAGCGGCAAGAGCUCAAAUUUGAAAUCUGGCGUCCCCGACGUCCGAGUUGUAAUUUGGAGAGGCAUCUUCUGGAGGGGCCCAGCCUAUGUUCCUUGGAACAGGACGUCGUAGAGGGUGAGAAUCCCGUUCUCGGCUGGAUGUCCCCACCUGCAUGUAGUGUCUUCUACGAGUCGAGUUGUUUGGGAAUGCAGCUCAAAAUGGGUGGUAAAUUUCAUCUAAAGCUAAAUAUUGGCGAGAGACCGAUAGCGCACAAGUAGAGUGAUCGAAAGAUGAAAAGCACUUUGAAAAUAGAGUCAAACAGUACGUGAAAUUGUUGAAAGGGAAGCGCUUGAGACCAGACUCGGCCUUGGACAAACAACCUACCUUCUGGUUGGUGCACUUGCCCUUGGCCGGGCCAGCAUCAGUUGGGACGGCGGGAUAAAGGCCACGGGAAUGUGGCUCCUCUCGGGGAGUGUUAUAGCCCUGGGCGCCAUGCCGCCAGUCCUGACUGAGGACCGCGCUUCGGCAAGGAUGCUGGCAUAAUGGUCUUCAGCGACCCGUCUUGAAACACGGACCAAGGAGUCUAACAUCUAUGCAAGUGUUUGGGCUUCAAACCCUUACGCGUAAUGAAAGUGAACGGAGGUGGGAACCCUGAGAGGGGCGCACCAUCGACCGAUCCUGAUGUCUUCGGAUGGAUUUGAGUAGGAGCAUAGCUGUUGGGACCCGAAAGAUGGUGAACUAUGCCUGAAUAGGGUGAAGCCAGAGGAAACUCUGGUGGAGGCUCGCAGCGGUUCUGACGUGCAAAUCGAUCGUCAAAUUUGGGUAUAGGGGCGAAAGACUAAUCGAACCAUC